AGUGAACGCUGGCGGUAGGCCUAACACAUGCAAGUCGAACGGCAGCACAGUAAGAGCUUGCUCUUACGGGUGGCGAGUGGCGGACGGGUGAGGAAUACAUCGGAAUCUACUUUUUCGUGGGGGAUAACGUAGGGAAACUUACGCUAAUACCGCAUACGACCUACGGGUGAAAGCAGGGGAUCUUCGGACCUUGCGCGAUUGAAUGAGCCGAUGUCGGAUUAGCUAGUUGGCGGGGUAAAGGCCCACCAAGGCGACGAUCCGUAGCUGGUCUGAGAGGAUGAUCAGCCACACUGGAACUGAGACACGGUCCAGACUCCUACGGGAGGCAGCAGUGGGGAAUAUUGGACAAUGGGCGCAAGCCUAAUCCAGCCAUACCGCGUGGGUGAAGAAGGCCUUCGGGUUGUAAAGCCCUUUUGUUGGGAAAGAAAAGCAGCAGGUUAAUACCCCGCUGUUCUGACGGUACCCAAAGAAUAAGCACCGGCUAACCUCGUG
rnacentral:rRNA from 1 species